GUGAUCAAUCUCAUAACUCCUAUAAGGAAUACAAAAUUAAGAGUUGGGCAAACACGGACCCCUGGACAUACCAGAGGUGGGAUCAGGUGCCUAGGAGGAGUAAAUGUCCCCUGUCGAGAGGUCACAUCCGCCGUGAGCCCUUUAUCUUGAUCAGGUAAAUGGAGUUAUCCAAGAACGGUGAUUGAUGUUUUUCGCCACACUCAAAAUUUUUUCAGUUAUCUGGUGGCGCCCAGUUUUUAUUGGUGGAAGAGAGAACCCAGAUACAAUGUACCUGGGAAGAGACCACCGACCUUCCGAAAGUAAACUGGGAAACUUUCUCACUUACCGGCGCGACGUCAGACAGCAUUUGACCCAAUGAUAGGUUGUAUUGGCCAACUAGAUAGUUUUAACGACCAUAGAAUUCGCGAAAUACUGACUUUAAACGCUAUUGUUGAAACCUCUGUAACAUCAGCCUGUUUGUCAGUAGCCUGCCUCGAUUUAAAAACUCAUCAUAUGCAUAUCGAAUUAGUUGAGAUAUAUAGACACACCAUAUGCAGGUGAAAAUGGAAUAUUGCUAUAUAAAUAUGGGAAGUUGACGAUGGAACUGAAGCUGAAAUCACCCCGUUUGUCAUAAAGUUGAGUUGUUACUUUGCCGUUAAUAUCCACUUUCAAUAAAAUAUCUAAGUAUGAAUCAGAAGUGGACGACUCUGUGGUGUCUUUUAUUUCGAGUUCACAGGGAUAUACUUAAUCGACAUUUGAAUGAAAAUUAUUAUUGUUAAUGGAUGAAACGUCGUCGAUAUAUCUAGAUGUAGCAGUGUAGGUCACAGCAAGAUAUUUUUUCUUCUCACAUAGAAUUUUUUUUAAUAAAUUCUGCUUCAUAAGAAUAUAAAAACAGGUCACAAAGGAGCACAAUUCGUGCCCAUGGGAAUUCCAACAGACUGUUGGAAGAUCUGAUCACCAAGGAUUACGAAGAUGUUGUCGAUGAGGAACUCCAGCAUAUUUUUUUUUAUUUCCACUUCGGAGUACAUGUACUUGUGCGUGGAAUCAGAGUAGUGUUGAACAAAGUAAGUUUUUGGGUGACUGAUCACUAGAUAUGAAUAUUUCCGUUUUCCAUCUUUGUUGAAGAAGCAACUCUCUAUGAUGUCAAAAAGUCUAGUGUUUACGCAUCUGAACUGAUUCGAUAAGCGAAAUCAUAUUCUGCGUAUGAUCAAGUUUUGAACCGAGGCAGGCUACUGACAAAUACGUGACGUUACAAGAGUGUCAACAGUCUUGUUUAAAGUCGGCAUUUGGAAAUGCAACCUGUCAUUAGUUCGAAUGCUGUCUGACAUGUUUCAUAUCAAUUGAUAGGCCGUUCUUUACAUAUUAAUUUUGAUGACGGAUUACUCUUUUUACCUAUAAAGAUAUAGUGCUCCAUUCAGAUGUGACCAGGCAAUAGGGGAUACUUACUCCUCCUAGGCACUUGAUCCCACCUCUGGUGUUUCCAGGAUUCCGUGUUUGCCGUACUCUCGGUUUUGCGCUCUUUAUAGGAUUUAUGAGAUUGAUUACUUUCGUUGUCUUCAAUUUUUCAUGAAAUUCGAUUUAAACCUUCUUAAGAAUCACAUGGGUAGUUUGUCAGAUCGAAAUAUGUAAGCAUCUUCCUGUAGUGUAGAUUAAAUUUGUUCACAAUAUGACCCAGGGGCAGGGCGGAGUCAUGGUAGGGGAUCAAAGUUACACACAGGAAUGCAAGAGAAAAUUCUUUUAAAAAUCUUCGUCUGAGUAUCAUAAUGAUACUGAUAUAUCGUAGUGUACAUUGGAGUUCACACCACAACUCCUGUAUUAUUGGCGGGGACACAACAGUUUUAAAGAUUUUUCAUAGGAUUAUAUCUGAAAAUUAUCUCAAGAAGCACACAGGUAACAACAGUCAAAUAUGCAGGAAGUGAAGUCGGAGAUGAAUAAAGAAAGUCCGGAUAAAGAUGGUGUCAAAUAAAGAAAAGGAAAGGAUGGAGGACACAGUUACGGAUGUUCAGUGUUGAAGCAUGGGUGUGAACCUAUUGUGUUUUUUAAUUAGCAGAACACAGAGACAAAAAAGGGGAGAACUGCACUUCAGCUAUCAAUCAUAUUUGUGAAACAACGCGGACUUUCGUGUUUUGGAGGAAGUAUUUUGAGAGGGCACAUAGAAUGAGAAUCAAGGAACAAGACAUUGAGCGGGCAUACAGAAUGGAAUGAGGAACAAGAAAACUCCCAUUGAAAAAGAUCACCACUAUAUACAUGUAUAUAAAGCAAUUUCAAACGCCUCUUGUGGACCCACCCGUGGGUUAUACAUGUUUUUCCAACAUACUGCAGAAGUGCUUCUUAAAUCAUAACCUUGUGGUUCUUAAAAAUAAUAUUUCUAAAACUG